UUCCACUCUUGAGCCAAGCUUCAAUACUUCUGUAGAUUUUAAGAAUUGGACAUAUUUAGCACCAAAGAUGCCUAUGCAAUCAGGGGCGGAAUCGGAACUCCAACUUAAGAGGGUCGGAAUUUUUGUGUUCCCUAACACUUGUACGGGCGGUUUAUAGGGCGAUUAUAACCGCCCCUACAAGAACAAAUCUGUAAAUUAUUUUAAAUGUCAGGCGAGGAUGGUCGGCCGACCCUUCUGACCCUCCCCAUGGAUCCGCCCCUGUAAGCAAUGCCAACUUCCAAUGGGAUGGUUCAGCAUUGAAUUGUUCUUCUGAAGAGAAAACCCAAAGAAGAAGACAAGAAGAGCAUAGAUCUGCCUUGUUUUGGUUCAGACCAAAAACUAAGUAUUCUUCUUAAUUGGGGGAUGCGGUUUAACAUCAUUAUGGAGGUUUCUUGAGGGCUUCUUUAUCUGCAUCAAGAUUCAAGGUUGAAGAUUAUCCAUAGAGAUUUGAAAACAAGCAACAUUUUCCAUGUAAGAUCUAGAUUGCAUAGAAAUGAAAACUUUCAAAUGUGAAAAUAAAAAUAAAAAUCGGUAAGCCCAAAAUGCAUAAACAUUCAUACAAUGGAGUUUCCAUGCAUUGUAGCACGGGACCUCUAAUUGUGGUAUAGAAACCUAGCGAAUUUUAUGUCUUGAUGUUUAUUUUUCAUUUUUGUAAACACUUUUAAAACUUCAAAACCUUUUAGUUAUAACUUUUUUUUCGUAAAAAAAUGUCAUUGUGUUGUUUUCAGUUUUAA